ACUUUCCCUUUAGUCAGCAUUAGGGUUUUAAACCCUAAACUGAACUUUUUCCCUUUUAGUCAGCAUUAGGGUUUUGAACCCUAAGCUGAAUUUUCCUCUAGUCAGCAUUAGGGUUUUAAACCCUAAACUGAACUGUUUUCCUUCAGUCAGCAUUAGGGUUUUAAACCCUAAACUGAACUUUUCCCUUUAGUCAGCAUUAGGGUUUUAAACCCUAAACUGAGCUUUUUCCCUGUAGUCAGCAUUAGGGUUUGGAACCCUAAGCUGAAUUUUCCCUUUCAGUCAGCAUUAGGGUUUUAAACCCUAAACUGAACUCUUUUCCUUUAGUCAGCAUUAGGGUUUUAAACCCUAAACUG
rnacentral:lncRNA from 1 species